rnacentral:tRNA from 1 species
GCUCUCCUAUGCCCAACUGGUAGAGGCAACUCGCUUAAAAUGAGUCAAAGUCCCGGUUCAAAUCCGGGGGAGAGUA